AAUCAACGCUGGCGGCGUGCCUAACACAUGCAAGUCGAACGAGAAAGUGGGGGCAACUCCAUGAGUAAAGUGGCAGACGGGUGAGUAACACGUGAACAACCUACCCUCGAGUGGGGAAUAACACCGCGAAAGCGGUGCUAAUACCGCAUAAUAUCUUUGAGUCGCAUGACCUGAAGAUCAAAAGCGCAAGUUGCUUGGGGAGGGGUUCGCGCCUGAUUAGCUAGUUGGUGAGGUAACGGCCCACCAAGGCGACGAUCAGUAGCCGGCCUGAGAGGGCGAACGGCCACACUGGAACUGAGACACGGUCCAGACUCCUACGGGAGGCAGCAGUGGGGAAUUUUGCGCAAUGGGCGAAAGCCUGACGCAGCAACGCCGCGUGGAGGAUGAAGGCCUUCGGGUCAUAAACUCCUGUCAGUGGGGACGAAUGCCUCGCAAGAGGUUUGACUGUACCCGCUGAGGAAGCCACGGCUAACUCCGUGCCAGC
rnacentral:rRNA from 1 species